GUGCCAGCCGCCGCGGUACUACCGGCAGCCCGAGUGAUGGCCGAUCUUAUUGGGCCUAAAGCGUUCGUAGCUGGCCGCGCAAGUCCAUCGGGAAAUCCAGGGGCUCAACCUCUGGGCGUCCGGUGGAAACUGUGCGGCUUGGGACCGGAAGACUCGAGGGGUACGUCCGGGGUAGGAGUGAAAUCCUGUAAUCCCGAACGGACCACCGAUGGCGAAAGCACCUCGAGAGCACGGAUCCGACAGUGAGGAACGAAAGCUGGGGUCUCGAACCGGAUUAGAUACCCGGGUAGUCC
rnacentral:rRNA from 1 species